rnacentral:rRNA from 1 species
AGAGUUUGAUCAUGGCUCAGAUUGAACGCUGGCGGCAGGCCUAACACAUGCAAGUCGAGCGGUAGCACAGAGAGCUUGCUCUCGGGUGACGAGCGGCGGACGGGUGAGUAAUGUCUGGGAAACUGCCUGAUGGAGGGGGAUAACUACUGGAAACGGUAGCUAAUACCGCAUAACGUCGCAAGACCAAAGUGGGGGACCUUCGGGCCUCAUGCCAUCAGAUGUGCCCAGAUGGGAUUAGCUAGUAGGUGGGGUAACGGCUCACCUAGGCGACGAUCCCUAGCUGGUCUGAGAGGAUGACCAGCCACACUGGAACUGAGACACGGUCCAGACUCCUACGGGAGGCAGCAGUGGGGAAUAUUGCACAAUGGGCGCAAGCCUGAUGCAGCCAUGCCGCGUGUGUGAAGAAGGCCUUCGGGUUGUAAAGCACUUUCAGCGGGGAGGAAGGCGUUAAGGUUAAUAACCUUGNNCGAUUGACGUUACCCGCAGAAGAAGCACCGGCUAACUCCGUGCCAGCAGCCGCGGUAAUACGGAGGGUGCAAGCGUUAAUCGGAAUUACUGGGCGUAAAGCGCACGCAGGCGGUCUGUCAAGUCGGAUGUGAAAUCCCCGGGCUCAACCUGGGAACUGCAUUCGAAACUGGCAGGCUAGAGUCUUGUAGAGGGGGGUAGAAUUCCAGGUGUAGCGGUGAAAUGCGUAGAGAUCUGGAGGAAUACCGGUGGCGAAGGCGGCCCCCUGGACAAAGACUGACGCUCAGGUGCGAAAGCGUGGGGAGCAAACAGGAUUAGAUACCCUGGUAGUCCACGCCGUAAACGAUGUCGAUUUGGAGGUUGUGCCCUUGAGGCGUGGCUUCCGGAGCUAACGCGUUAAAUCGACCGCCUGGGGAGUACGGCCGCAAGGUUAAAACUCAAAUGAAUUGACGGGGGCCCGCACAAGCGGUGGAGCAUGUGGUUUAAUUCGAUGCAACGCGAAGAACCUUACCUGGUCUUGACAUCCACAGAACUUUCCAGAGAUGGAUUGGUGCCUUCGGGAACUGUGAGACAGGUGCUGCAUGGCUGUCGUCAGCUCGUGUUGUGAAAUGUUGGGUUAAGUCCCGCAACGAGCGCAACCCUUAUCCUUUGUUGCCAGCGGUUAGGCCGGGAACUCAAAGGAGACUGCCAGUGAUAAACUGGAGGAAGGUGGGGAUGACGUCAAGUCAUCAUGGCCCUUACGACCAGGGCUACACACGUGCUACAAUGGCAUAUACAAAGAGAAGCGACCUCGCGAGAGCAAGCGGACCUCAUAAAGUAUGUCGUAGUCCGGAUUGGAGUCUGCAACUCGACUCCAUGAAGUCGGAAUCGCUAGUAAUCGUAGAUCAGAAUGCUACGGUGAAUACGUUCCCGGGCCUUGUACACACCGCCCGUCACACCAUGGGAGUGGGUUGCAAAAGAAGUAGGUAGCUUAACCUUCGGGAGGGCGCUUACCACUUUGUGAUUCAUGACUGGGGUGAAGUCGUAACAAGGUAACCGUAGGGGAACCUGCGGUUG